UACGUAGGGUGCGAGCGUUGUCCGGAAUUAUUGGGCGUAAAGGGCUCGUAGGCGGUCUGUUGCGUCAGGAGUGAAAACUCGGGGCUUAACCCCGAGCCUGCUUCUGAUACGGGCAGACUAGAGGUAUGCAGGGGAGAACGGAAUUCCUGGUGUAGCGGUGAAAUGCGCAGAUAUCAGGAGGAACACCGGUGGCGAAGGCGGUUCUCUGGACCGGUACUGACGCUGAUGCGCGAAAGCGUGGGGAGCAAACGGG
rnacentral:rRNA from 1 species